AGAGUUUGAUCCUGGCUCAGGACGAACGCUGGCGGCGCGCCUAACACAUGCAAGUCGAACGAGCGAGAGAGAGCUUGCUUUCUCGAGCGAGUGGCGAACGGGUGAGUAACGCGUGAGGAACCUGCCUCAAAGAGGGGGACAACAGUUGGAAACGACUGCUAAUACCGCAUAAGCCCACGGGUCGGCAUCGACCAGAGGGAAAAGGAGCAAUCCGCUUUGAGAUGGCCUCGCGUCCGAUUAGCUAGUUGGUGAGGUAACGGCCCACCAAGGCGACGAUCGGUAGCCGGACUGAGAGGUUGAACGGCCACAUUGGGACUGAGACACGGCCCAGACUCCUACGGGAGGCAGCAGUGGGGAAUAUUGCACAAUGGGGGAAACCCUGAUGCAGCGACGCCGCGUGGAGGAAGAAGGUCUUCGGAUUGUAAACUCCUGUUGUUGAGGAAGAUAAUGACGGUACUCAACAAGGAAGUGACGGCUAACUACGUGCCAGCAGCCGCGGUAAAACGUAGGUCACAAGCGUUGUCCGGAAUUACUGGGUGUAAAGGGAGCGCAGGCGGGAAGACAAGUUGGAAGUGAAAUCCAUGGGCUCAACCCAUGAACUGCUUUCAAAACUGUUUUUCUUGAGUAGUGCAGAGGUAGGCGGAAUUCCCGGUGUAGCGGUGGAAUGCGUAGAUAUCGGGAGGAACACCAGUGGCGAAGGCGGCCUACUGGGCACCAACUGACGCUGAGGCUCGAAAGUGUGGGUAGCAAACAGGAUUAGAUACCCUGGUAGUCCACACCGUAAACGAUGAUUACUAGGU
rnacentral:rRNA from 1 species